rnacentral:tRNA from 1 species
GGCCCCUUAGCUCAGUUGGUUUAGUAGCACUCGACUCAUAAUCGAUAGGUCGCUGGUUCAAGUCCAGCAGGGGCCACCA